AACGAACGCUGGCGGCAUGCCUAACACAUGCAAGUCGAACGAUGCCUUCGGGCAUGGUGGCGCACGGGUGCGUAACGCGUGGGAAUCUGCCCUUGGCUUCGGAAUAACAGUUAGAAAUGACUGCUAAUACCGGAUGAUGUCUUCGGACCAAAGAUUUAUCGGCCAGGGAUGAGCCCGCGUAGGAUUAGGUAGUUGGUGGGGUAAAGGCCUACCAAGCCGACGAUCCUUAGCUGGUCUGAGAGGAUGAUCAGCCACACUGGGACUGAGACACGGCCCAGACUCCUACGGGAGGCAGCAGUGGGGAAUAUUGGACAAUGGGGGGAACCCUGAUCCAGCAAUGCCGCGUGAGUGAUGAAGGCCUAGGGUUGUAAAGCUCUUUUACCAGGGAUGAUAAUGACAGUACCUGGAGAAUAAGCUCCGGCUAACUCCGUGCCAGCCGCCGCCGUAAUAC
rnacentral:rRNA from 1 species